ensembl:lincRNA
UACUCUUGUGGGAUAAGUUUGGCGCGAUAGGUACAUGACAUACCGCCUCAUAAGUCGGCCUGCUACUUCGUGGAAUUCCGUUAUUCUUUCUCCAUUGUGGUGCUUUUUAAACGACUUCUUCAAUACUCGGACUUUCUCUCGGGCAUGGCGAAUGCCUGCGUGGGCGUGGAGUUUUCUUUGUGGAGGGAGGGAAAGGAAAGGAGGGAGGAAGAAGCGAGCACAUGGCGUGCAAGGCUGGAUCGGGCCUGGCCCGCGUGUGCCGGCUUGUGCGCCGACCGCAAGUAACGGCGGACACCCUUUUGUUGUCGUCCCGGUUUACCUCCUCGAUAUCCGUCGUUUUCUCGUCGCGGUCGCGGUGUUUGUUCUGCGUGAGGACGCUUUGGGAGAAGUAUGGCACGGUUUCGUCGAGGACAAUGGCGCCUGCGGGGCCCGGCCAUGUGCUCGAGCACAUGGUCCGCGCGCCCAAACUUUGUCCCCGUCGCGCGCACAAACUUUUACCCAUUGUCCUUCCGCUUGGUUAGCAGGGGGUUGUCGCAUUUGGCUACUGAAGAUCUACACGAGCAUUGCACGGAUCCUUGGUGACAAAACUACACAGAAUAUGGGAUGUGAACCUGACAUCUUACAAGCCUAAACCAGGGUGCCGGUGAAAGCUCGCCGAAUCUUCCUGAAGGACACUGUGCGACUUUCAACGUCGACCAACUAAUGCUGACCUUUGGGUCAUCCGUCUCGACGUGCAUCCAAGGGAUGGCACACACAAUGAAUGAUGUCUUGCCCUGCCUGCAAGAUGAUGAGAGUUUUUUGCGGGGCCGAGAUUCAAAUCUAGGAGAGACAGCUCAAGGGUGAAUGCGCUUACCUUGAAUCUCGAGAUCAUUCUACCAGCCAGCCCAUUAUUUUCAUUCAUUUUAUUCGUUCCCUCUCAGUUUCACCAGAGUGGACAAUUGGUUUGCUGUCCGUCUGUCCAUUCCACCUGUAGUUUUUCAUAAUUUUUCCCCCAUACGCCUCAACGUAUUCAUUUGAAGCUCGGCUCAUGGCUUUACUAUGAUAAGUUACACAACAAGUUCGAGUUUCAGGGUGUUUUUUCAAUUCUUCUCAUAGUUAUACCUUUUAUAAAGUGAGAAAAUAUCACAUUUGCAUGGGUCGGUGUUCAGCUGCCCUGACUCCACCCCCACUGCUUUUCACUCAUUGGAUGGACAGCUGCUGCUGACUCCACCCCAAUAAUAUCAUGUGCUGCCAUUGCAUGAAGCAGCACAGUUCUCCAGGCCUCAAGACUAGUGCUUUGGUGUUAGUCCAUAGAUUACUGAAAUUGGAAUGAUCUCAAGUAUAUUUUCACAAUCUAUACCUUAAGAGCCAUUUGUCUAUCUGUCGAAGUGCGUCACCAUUUUUCUCAGAGAAUGCUGACCGGAUCUUCGUCAAACUUUCAGAGGUUCGUCAGAGAGUGUUUAUGGUGAACAAAAUUUGUGGAACAAAAAUUAGAAAAAAAAAAAAAAAAGAGUUCGAUUUAUUAAUUUAAUUUUUAUUAUUUUAUAUCUGUAUUGUGUCGAAGCCUUUUUGCUGAAUGACUUGUAUGCAAGUGCACAUACAUAUAAAUCAAGACAAAUCAAUUACCAGAUGAUUAAAUACAAAUAAACUUCUUCUGGAAGCAGUCGAAGGAACGUAAAUGUUUUUCUUCCUGAGUGACACCAUCUUCAUAGACCGGGGUCAAUCUUAACCUUGAAACAUCAAUGGCACAUUUACGACCAUCGAUUUGACGAAUAGCAUCUAAUUCCACUUCUCAGUUAACAUUUUUACAAUGCCUCUUAGCCAGUAAUCGACAGGGUAUUUAGAAAGUCCUGUUACCCCCUCUGCAGAACAUGAUAAAUGAAUAUUAUUAGUCCAUGAGGCCGACCACUUUGUCGGUACAAAAUUAGUGCCCGGUUGUGUUUGGUAUCAUUGGAAAGCUU